GACGAACGCUGGCGGCGCGCUUAACACAUGCAAGUCGAACGGAAAGGCCUGCUUUCCCUUGUGGAUUGCGGGUACUCGAGUGGCGAACGGGUGAGUAACACGUGAGUGAUCUGCCCCCAACUUGGGUAUAAGCCUGGGAAACUGGGUCUAAUUCCCGAUAGGACUGCAGGGUGGUGCCUGUGGUGGAAAACGAUUUUCUAGUGGUUGGGGAUGAGCUCGCGGCCUAUCAGCUUGUUGGUGGGGUAAUGGCCUACCAAGGCGGCGACGGGUAGCCGGCCUGAGAGGGUGGACGGCCACAUUGGGACUGAGAUACGGCCCAGUCUCCUACGGGAGGCAGCAGUGGGGAAUAUUGCACAAUGGGCGGAAGCCUGAUGCAGCGACGCCGCGUGGGGGAUGACGGCCUUCGGGUUGUAAACUCCUUUCGACCGCGAGGAAGCCACCUGGUUGGAAGGGUGGUGACGGUAGUGGUAGAAGAAGCACCGGCUAACUACGUG
rnacentral:rRNA from 1 species